rnacentral:rRNA from 1 species
AGCGAACGCUGGCGGCAGGCCUAACACAUGCAAGUCGAACGGACCCUUCGGGGUUAGUGGCGGACGGGUGAGUAACACGUGGGAACGUGCCUUUAGGUUCGGAAUAGCUCCUGGAAACGGGUGGUAAUGCCGAAUGUGCCCUUCGGGGGAAAGAUUUAUCGCCUUUAGAGCGGCCCGCGUCUGAUUAGCUAGUUGGUGAGGUAAAGGCUCACCAAGGCGACGAUCAGUAGCUGGUCUGAGAGGAUGACCAGCCACAUUGGGACUGGGACACGGCCCAAACUCCUACGGGAGGCAGCAGUGGGGAAUCUUGCGCAAUGGGCGAAAGCCUGACGCAGCCAUGCCGCGUGGAUGAUGAAGGUCUUAGGAUUGUAAAAUCCUUUCACCGGUGAAGAUAAUGACGGUACCCACAGAAGAAGCCCCGGCUAACUUCGUGCCAGCCGCCGCGGUAAGAC